rnacentral:antisense_RNA from 1 species
CUUCAGGGAGCCCAGCCAGAGGGGUCUGCCCUCGUCCCGGCCCUGUCCGUAGGUCGCGAGCAGGGCGUCCGCCUC